UCUUACAGUACCGUCAAGCUCGGACACGUCCGAGUGUUUCUUCCUGUAUAAAAGCAGUUUACAACCCAUAGGGCCGUCUUCCUGCACGCGGCAUGGCUGGAUCAGAGUUGCCUCCAUUGUCCAAUAUUCCUCA
rnacentral:rRNA from 1 species